rnacentral:misc_RNA from 1 species
GACUUGUGGAGCUUCUACUGUAAGUGGUGUUUAUGUACCUGACUUUAUUGAAAAUGUUUCCAUUUUUGCACUUCCUCAGGGAAUGAUUCUUUGAAACAUUGAUGGACAAACUCCUGAAUAUUUAAAAUCAUCUGUAGACCUUUCUCAACUUUUUUUCCUUUCUUUUCUUUCUUUCCUUUUUAAGUGUUAUUUUGGAAUAUUGUGCUCACAUAUUUUAAUUUGGAAUUAGCAAAUAUUAUUCUCUACACAUUCCCAUUUAGUCUGGAUACAUGGUUAGUUAUUGUUUUUUGGUUUAUUUUAUGGCAUCCAUUAGGUUAUAACUAGAUGAUAGCAUGUUAAAUGUUGCUGAUCUAACUUUUUCUUCUGUAGUCAUCCAUCAACAACAGUCGUUGU